UGUAUGGAGUAAUAAAGACUGACCAACAUGAAUAAGAGGUCGCUACAUAACUAAACAAUAUAAACCCAUCGAUAGAUAGACUCAAUCGGAUAUUAUGUGAUUUCUAAGCAAAUAAAGGAUGGCAAGCAUCAAAUUUCUUCUAUGCCGCACUAUCCGAUGGAUGACUCAUCUCUUUAGAAUGCUUGCAAAUCUCUUCUUUAUGCCAUCUCAUCUGCCCAAC
rnacentral:lncRNA from 1 species